CCUACGGGAGGCAGCAGUGGGGGAUAUUGCACAAUGGGGGAAACCCUGAUGCAGCGACGCCGCGUGUGGGAAGACGGUCCUCUGGAUUGUAAACCACUGUCCCCAGGGACGAAAAUGACGGUACCUGGGGAGGAAGCUCCGGCUAACUACGUGCCAGCAGCCGCGGUAAUACGUAGGGAGCGAGCGUUGUCCGGAAUUACUGGGUGUAAAGGGCGCGUAGGCGGGGAUGCAAGUUGGGUGUCAAAACUACCGGCUCAACUGGUAGUCGCACUCAAAACUGCAGCUCUUGAGUGAAGUAGAGGCAGGCGGAAUUCCGAGGGUAGCGGUGAAACGCGGAGAUAGUAGGAGGAACACCAGUGGCGAAGGCGGCCUGCAGGGCUUUUACUGACGCUGAGGCUCGAAAGUGUGGGGAGCAAACAGGAUUAGAUACCCCAGUAGUC
rnacentral:rRNA from 1 species